rnacentral:rRNA from 2 species
UGGGUAUUGGGGACGGUCCGCCGUCCUCAUGACACUUGAACACCCACAGGCGAAGACAACUCGAAAGUUAUCACGGGAUUACGGGUUCGGCCGAUGGCGCAAGCCUUCGUCGGGCCCCUCCAUCCCAGGGUGUCCCGGUACGGGUGCUUGCACCCAGCGGACAUCCCCGGAGUGCGUAGGAUGUGACCCGAAAGAUGGUGAACUAUGCCUGAUCAGGUCGAAGUCAGGGGAAACCCUGAUGGAGGACCGAAGCAAUUCUGACGUGCAAAUCGAUUGUCAGAGUUGGGCAUAGGGGCGAAA